CUACGGGACGCUGCAGUUAGGAAUAUUCUGCAAUGCGCGCAAGCGUGACAGAUUGAACCAGAGUGCUUUCCAAUUGGAAAGCUUUUGCCAAAUGUAAAAAGUUUGGCGAAUAAGGACUGGGUAAGACGAGUGCCAGCCGCCGCGGUAAUACUCGCGGUCCAAGUCGCAGCCAUUUUUAUUGGGUCUAAAACAUACGUAGCUUGUAGUUUAAGUUUCCUGUGAAAUUUUAUCUCUUAAAGAUAGAGCGGGCAGGAAGUACUGAACUACUAGAGACUGGAAGACGUAAAGAAGUACGAUUAAAGUAGCGGUAAAAUGUUUUGAUCUUAAUCGGACUCACAAUAGCGAAGGCAUCUUACGAGGACAGUUCUGACAGUAAGGGAUGAAGGCUAGGGGCGCAAAACGGAUUAGAUACCCGAGUAGUC
rnacentral:rRNA from 1 species